rnacentral:rRNA from 1 species
CUCGUAGGCGGCCAACUAAGUCAGACGUGAAAUCCCCAGGCUCAACCUGGGAACUGCGUCUGAUACUGGAUGGCUUGAAUUCGGGAGAGGGAUGCAGAAUUCCAGGUGUAGCGGUGAAAUGCGUAGAUAUCUGGAGGAAUACCGGUGGCGAAGGCGGCAUCCUGGACCGACAUUGACGCUGAUGAGCGAAAGCUAGGGGAGCAAACG